rnacentral:rRNA from 1 species
AUGAACGCUGGCGGCGUGCCUAAUACAUGCAAGUCGAGCGAACAGACGAGGAGCUUGCUUCUCUGACGUUAGCGGCGGACGGGUGAGUAACACGUGGAUAACCUACCUAUAAGACUGGGAUAACUUCGGGAAACCGGAGCUAAUACCGGAUAAUAUAUUGAACCGCAUGGUUCAAUAGUGAAAGACGGUUUUGCUGUCACUUAUAGAUGGAUCCGCGCCGCAUUAGCUAGGUGGUAAGGUAACGGCUUACCAAGGCAACGAUGCGUAGCCGACCUGAGAGGGUGAUCGGCCACACUGGAACUGAGACACGGUCCAGACUCCUACGGGAGGCAGCAGUAGGGAAUCUUCCGCAAUGGGCGAAAGCCUGACGGAGCAACGCCGCGUGAGUGAUGAAGGUCUUCGGAUCGUAAAACUCUGUUAUUAGGGAAGAACAAAUGUGAAAGUAACUAUGCACGUCUUGACGGUACCUAAUCAGAAAGCCACGGCUAACUACGUG